AAAGCGAUUGGAACUAUUAAUACGGAAAAUGAAUAAAUUAUUAGUGUAUUUCACGCAUUUAUUUUAUUUUCCUCCUUAUGAAGAACACAGGUUAACCAUCAUGGCAGCUUUACCUUCCCUGAUGCAGACUCCACCAGAUGUUAUACACAUUUCAUUCGUCGUCUGAUUCUAACCCUGGUAGUCCUAGCUUGACCAACGACCAAUCUUUUACAAUCAAGGAAAUAUCAUAG
rnacentral:lncRNA from 1 species